rnacentral:rRNA from 1 species
GGGUUAGUAGGUUGGUCAUGCCUCUGGUAUGUACUGGUCUCACUGAUUCCUCCUUCCUGAUGAACCUUAAUGCCCUUUGCUGGGUGUGGCGGGGAACCAGGACUUUUACCUUGAAAAAAUUAGAGUGUUUAAAGCAGGCCAAUUGCUUGAAUACAUUAGCAUGGAAUAAUGGAAUAGGAUUUCGGUUCUAUUUUGUUGGUUUCUAGGACCGAAGUA